rnacentral:lncRNA from 1 species
CUCAGGCUUCUGUCUGUCAAAGUCUUUGCCGCGAACGGAACGUUUGCUCUUCCUUAAGUUAAAAAAACGCGAUCUCGAAUGCACUCAGCCAGUCCGCGAGUUCGGAGUUCAAAUGAACAAAGAAAUUAUAUUGUCAACCGGAUUCUAUUUCUUUUCGUUCUGUCUUUCUGAUCAAUGUUUAAAUAAAUUUAGUGUGAACCUGAUAUCGAAGGUGUGCAGUAUAAUCUUGAUUUAUGAACAAAAUAUGGAUAAAAUAUUAUAUAAAAUAUCAUGUGGAAAGACAGAUUUUGUGAUCGCUGCAUUGGGAGCUGCACACACAGCAGAGCAAGCACGUCUUGAACACACAGUGAAUCGUGUUGAGAAUCGGCCAUUUUGGUCAUCAAAAUGGCAACACGAAAGAAGCUUAGCAAUGUUACAACUGCUCUAUUCUUUGAUAUUGUACUUACAACAGGCACUUACAACAGGAAUAAAAUCUACGAUAACACAUGCUCUAGCAACUUCCAAAAUCAGAACAAAGUUUUAAUGAUGUGUCAGUUAAAGGUUUCGAAAGAAUAGAAAAUAUCGAAAGAAUAGAGAAUAAAAAACAUCGGAAAAAAUACUGUGGCUAUGAAAAAUAGCCAGGAAGUUUUUGAAACGCACAACAAAAAGAGUUUUUUUAAUCAAAAACGGAGAAUUGAUGACAAAAUUGUAGCAAGUUUCACGAAUGAAUCUAUUAUUUCUAAUGAUGUAGAACAUAUAGAGAUGAAUCUGAUAUCAACCUUGAUCAAAAUAGAAGCCGACAGAUUUCGAAAAUUAUGUUUCUGCCAGUUCUGUAGAUGGGCAUAUCCGCCAUAAAUCCAAAAAUAAAAAACUUAUAAAAAAAGAUUAUUUAACCCAAAUAGAAUGAUGUCCGACGACUCUUCUAACGAUAGAACAGAUGCAGACUUUAGCGUAACUCAGACUGCUGAACGAUGCGGACUUCCUGCUGUCCUGAAUCUUGCGUCAAUAAUGGUGGAUCCAUCACCAAGUCGGGUGUUUGCUUCUGCCGCAUCUUGCGAAAUUCCUGGGCUGCGCGGGAAGAGGAAGAUGAUUUUGCAGGAGGCGGCAUCAGUUGUGUCUGCGACGUAGAGCGGCGCUGCCAGAUUUCGCGAUUCAAAGAUAAGUUCGUUGUCGUUUGCAGCUUCUGUUGCGACUCGUUGUCCGAUGUUUCAGUCGUUGAUGUUUCCUGGUUAUUGCGUUUCUAUUGAUAACGCAAGUUUAGAUCAAUCACAACAGAUUGCUGAUCUAGGGUGUGUUCGGAGAGCGCACUAUCAGCGUUAUUGUAUCAUUCUAUUCUUGUUUUAUGUCUAAUGAGCAAUAAAGAUAGAAUGACGCAAAUAGCGCUAAUAGCGUCCCCGAACGCACCCCUAGGCUCGCGUUACCGACAUCUUCAAUGUACUCGACCUUGUGCUUCGCCACUUGGAGAACGCCAUCGAUUUUCAGAGAACGAAAAGUACUUGAAAAUUAUUAUUGGAACAAUAAAGAAUCGAUAUCCUAGCUAGUCUCAACGGAAUCUCAAUAUUCGUCUGCGAACAAUCACAAAAAUAAUCGUAGCGAGGUUUGAAUCGCGCACGAACGCAAGAGGCAAAAAUUAAUGUUGCCUGAGCGAAAUCGGUAUACGUGUCUCAUUUAGUUUAACAGGGGAUGCGCAGGAUCUACGACGUCGUCUUGUUCUAUUGGGUUUGUGCGUGCAGCAACGAGAUACGAAUUAUUAUAUCGUUAUUUACUUUAAAUCACAUUUCUCUUAUUUAUACAAGGAGUCUCGGCACCGGAGAUGUGGCGUCUAGAUGUAGCGUCGCGGUUGAAAGUAAAAAAAAAAAAUCUUUUAAGCAGCGUUUUUAUUAAAAUGCUGGUACUUUUAGAGUUGCAAAUUGUUACAAAAGAUUUUUAAGUUUUUAGAAUCAACAGAACAAAAU